GGACAACCUGCCCUGAGGACUGGAAUAAUCCCGGGAAACUGGGGGUAAUUCCAGAUAUGUCAGAACUCCUGGAAUGGGUUCUGGCAGAAAGGCUCCGGCGCCUCAGGAUGGGUCUGCGGCCUAUCAGGGUAGUAGUGGGUGUAGCGUACCUACUAGCCUACGACGGGUACGGGUUGUGAGAGCAAGAGCCCGGAGAUGGAUUCUGAGACACGAAUCCAGGCCCUACGGGGUGUAGCAGGCGCGAAAACUUUACAAUGCUGGCAACAGCGAUAAGGGAACCUCGAGUGCCAGGUUACAAAUCUGGCUGUCGAGAUGCCUAAAAAGCAUUUCAUAGCAAGGGCCGGGCAAGACCGGUGCCAGCCGCCGCGGUAACACCGGCGGCUCGAGUGGUAACCGUUAUUAUUGGGUCUAAAGGGUCUGUAGCCGGCCGGAUAAGUCUCUUGAGAAAUCUGGCAGCUUAACUGUCAGGCUUUCAGGAGAUACUGUCUGGCUCGAGGCCGGGAGAGGUGAGAGGUACUUCAGGGGUAGGGGUGAAAUCUUGUAAUCCUUGAAGGACCACCAGUGGCGAAGGCGUCUCACCAGAACGGACCUGACGGCAAGGGACGAAAGCUAGGGGCACGAACCGGAUUAGAUACCCGGGUAGUCCUAGCCGUAAACGAUACUCGCUAGGUGUCGGCCACGGUGCGACCGUUGUCGGUGCCGUAGGGAAGCCGUGAAGCGAGCCACCUGGGAAGUACGGCCGCAAGGCUGAAACUUAA
rnacentral:rRNA from 1 species